UACGGAGGGUGCAAGCGUUAUCCGGAUUCACUGGGUUUAAAGAGUGCGUAGGUGGUGCCCUAAGUCUGUUGUGAAAUCUCCCGGCUUAACUGGGAGGGUGCGGUGGAAACUGGGGUGCUUGAGUGUGGGAGAGGUAAGCGGAAUUCCUGGUGUAGCGGUGAAAUGCGUAGAUAUCAGGAGGAACACCGGUGGUGUAGACGGCUUACUGGACCACGACUGACACUGAGGCACGAAAGCGUGGGUAGCAAACAGG
rnacentral:rRNA from 1 species